rnacentral:rRNA from 1 species
CAACUCUCAACAACGGAUAUCUUGGCUCCCGCACCGAUGAAGAACGCAGCGAAAUGCGAUACCUAGUGUGAAUUGCAGAAUCAUGUGAAUCAUCGAGUCUUUGAACGCAAAUUGCGCNUGAGGUCUAGGCCAAANGCAUGUCUGGCUCAACGUCGUUUC